rnacentral:rRNA from 1 species
CCUACGGGUGGCAGCAGUAGGGAAUAUUGCUCAAUGGGGGAAACCCUGAAGCAGCAACGCCGCGUGGAGGAUGAAGGUUCUCGGAUUGUAAACUCCUUUUGUUAGAGAAGAUAAUGACGGUACCUAACGAUUAAGCACCGGCUAACUCCGUGCCAGCAGCCGCGGUAAUACGGAGGGUGCAAGCGUUACUCGGAAUCACUGGGCGUAAAGGGCGCGUAGGCGGGAUAGCAAGUCAGAUGUGAAAUCCUAUGGCUUAACCAUAGAACUGCAUUUGAAACUGUUAUUCUAGAGUAUGGGAGAGGUAGGUGGAAUUCUUGGUGUAGGGGUAAAAUCCGUAGAGAUCAAGAGGAAUACUCAUUGCGAAGGCGGCCUGCUAGAACAUAACUGACGCUGAUGCGCGAAAGCGUGGGGAGCAAACAGGAUUAGAUACCCGUGUAGUC